GAUGAACGCUGGCGGCGUGCCUAAUACAUGCAAGUCGAGCGAACAGACGAGGAGCUUGCUCCUCUGACGUUAGCGGCGGACGGGUGAGUAACACGUGGAUAACCUACCUAUAAGACUGGGAUAACUUCGGGAAACCAGAGCUAAUACCGGAUAUUAUAUUGAACCGCAUGGUUCAAUAGUGAAAGACGGUUUUGCUGUCACUUAUAGAUGGAUCCGCGCCGCAUUAGCUAGUUGGUAAGGUAACGGCUUACCAAGGCAACGAUGCGUAGCCGACCUGAGAGGGUGAUCGGCCACACUGGAACUGAGACACGGUCCAGACUCCUACGGGAGGCAGCAGUAGGGAAUCUUCCGCAAUGGGCGAAAGCCUGACGGAGCAACGCCGCGUGAGUGAUGAAGGUCUUCGGAUCGUAAAACUCUGUUAUUAGGGAAGAACAAAUGUGUAAGUAACUAUGCACGUCUUGACGGUACCUAAUCAGAAAGCCACGGCUAACUACGUG
rnacentral:rRNA from 1 species